AAGUUUUCUUCGGAGCAAAUGUUCAUUAUUUAGUUUGUUUAUUUCGAGUUUAGUCAAGAAAGUAGCACCGAAUGUUCCCAAACCAUAAAAAAGUUUGCAAAGGAAUGCGCUUGCUCAAAUAAACCACACAUCAUCCAUUUCGGCGAGCAUUACGAUGGGCAUCGAACGCCGACGUCGAGCCGAAGCCGCCACCGGAUCCAGCUGGCUGUCACUGCUGGAAUCGCUGUCCAUCUUGGCGGCUGCGGGCGAAUAAUCAAAAAUGCGAAUAAACGGAUUUGCGUCUUAUUGCGGCUGUGGAUGCGGGUGGAUAAUCGACCAAACAACACAACACGUGCAUUAAAUAUCCAACCCACAUGCGCUUCGCACAUAAUUUGCAAAUUUUAUUACCUUCGUCGAGGCCCUCGAAUAAAAAAAGAAACCCAAUUAAAUUUUGAGAUUUGUGCGAUCAAAAAUAUAAAAAAAAUUUCUCCCGUAGCUCGGACACUACGGGUGGAUGACUAAUGAAUCAAUAAAUGAUUUGUUUUUUA